rnacentral:rRNA from 1 species
AUACGUAGGUGGCAAGCGUUAUCCGGAAUGACUGGGCGUAAAGGGUGCGUAGGCGGAUGUUUAAGUCAGUUGUGAAAAUUCAGGGCUCAACCUGGGAAUUGCAUUUGAAACUGGACGACUUGAGUGCAUUAGAGGUAGGCGGAAUUCCUAGUGUAGCGGUGAAAUGCUUGGAUAUUAGGAAGAACACCAGUGGCGAAGGCAACUUUCUGGACUGUAACUGACGCUGAGACACGAAAGCGUGGGGAGCGAACAGGAUUAGAUACCCUGGUAGUCCACGCUGUAAACGAUGAAUGCUAGGUGUGGGGUGUCAACGGUCAGUGGCGCAGUUAACGCAUUAAGCAUUCCGCCUGGGGAGUACGGCCGCAAGGUUGA